rnacentral:rRNA from 1 species
AUACGGAGGAUGCGAGCGUUAUCCGGAUUUAUUGGGUUUAAAGGGUGCGUAGGCUGUGCGUUAAGUCAGGGGUGAAAUGCCGUCGCUCAACGACGGAGCUGCCCUUGAUACUGGCGUGCUGGAGUACGGAUGCCGUUGGAGGAAUGAGUGGUGUAGCGGUGAAAUGCUUAGAUAUCACUCAGAACACCGAUUGCGAAGGCAUCGGACGAAUCCGUCACUGACGCUGAGGCACGAAAGCGUGGGGAUAGAACAGGAUUAGAUACCCUGGUAUUCCACGCCGUAAACGAUGAUGACUAACCGUCGGCGAUAGACAGCCGGUGGCCAAGCGAAAGCGAUAAGUCAUCCACCUGGGGAGUACGGCGGCAACGAUGAAACUCAAAUGAAUUGACGGGG